rnacentral:misc_RNA from 1 species
GCCAUAAACCUCAUUAAAAAUUCUCAGUGAUUUGCUGCGACCAAUACCAUGUGCUCUUAUAGGGUCCAGCACUUGGUUCCUGUGGGAAAAAUAACGCCACAUCCAUACAAGAGAUCAAGCAAACUGACUAGGUCUUUUCUAACUCUUUUAGACUGAAUAAAUAUUUUGGCUUUCUCAACAUUGCCUUGGAUUGAACAUAGUAAAAUUAUUUUUAAGAUUAUAAGGCUAUUAGGAACUUGAGUCUAAUAUUACAAUUAAUUUGAAAUA